AGACGUUCUCGAGCGCCUGGCCUCCCCACGGGGGAGGUGACGAGGAAGAGGGUCAUCGAAAGACUCGGCGGAUACCCUCUCGGCCGCUCACGGCCGUGACGGUGCGGAGCAAACCCCGGGGGCGACCCCGGUGCAUAGAAGCCGCAUCGAUGUGAGGC
rnacentral:ncRNA from 2 species